UCAUGUCGGUGCGGCCUUGCUGCUGCUUUUGUCAUUUUUUGAUUUUGCAUUUUUCUUGUGAUCAGCGUUUAUUCUAAUUGUUUUAAUUGGCUUUCGGCCUCCAAGCAAGUAGAUUGAUGGAUCCUUGGGGCUGCGAAGUGGAAUCCGCUGUUGUUGAGUCGAAGUUUGAGGACAACUUUACGCCUUCUCAAGGAUUCACGAAGCUGUCAGACUCAGCGCAAUAUCUUGCCGUUUUAGAAAGGAAACUUCAAGUGGUGCGUUCACAGAACAAAGUGCUGGAAAACCUGUCAGCGUACAGGGAGGAUUGUAUCAACCGGUUGAUGCGCGACGGCUGUGACCUGGACCCUGUGAUCGGCGACACCGAAGCUGAGAAACUGUUACAAGAAUAAACAUAACCUUUAACCUCUUAGCAUCAUGACGGCGGCUCGUAAAAGCCUGUUCAUCUUCCUGAUGGGGCUGGCGUGGCGCUGCCGGUACAGCAUGCCGCUACUGCUCAGCGGUACUGUGGCCAUACUGGGCCGCGCUUGGAUGUUCCAGAUUCGCGUGCAGACUGUGCAUCGCCUGCACGAAUCCGAGGUGAGUGAGAGUCGAUUUUAUUCCUAUGUCGCACAAGGCGUGAAAUUCCAUGAGUGAUAGUCCAAGAGUCCAAGGAAGAUCCACGCGAAGUUCAGCUCUAUUCUUGUUCAGCGUUCAAACUCUCAUGUGCGUGAAUGUCUAAAAGUGAAAGCCCAUGAGUCCAAUGUGAGCCCGCGAGUUCCAGCUGUUUCUAUCUAGCACAAGAGGUGAAACUCCACGAGUCUUAGGUCAGCUAGAGAUGCUGCUCAGCGGUACUGUGGCCAUACUGGGCCGCGCUUGGAUGUUCCAGAUUCGCGUGCAGACUGUGCAUCGCCUGCACGAAUCCGAGUUAGCAUACUACGACGACGACGAAAUAAUGGAGGAGGAAGAGGAUUACACUUGGGAGGAGGAGUCCACCGACUCCUGGGAGACCAUCGUCGAGGAGGUCGCGUAUGGAUGACCCCCGCUUAUCGUCAGGUCGGGCAUACACUUCCGAAGCCAUGACCGUGACGUAUAAACCAAAAGCAAAUUUAAAUUUGAACUCUAUCACUUUGUGCUGUCCGUCUAAUGUAGUUUGUAGUUGUGAGUAUGUCGCAGCCGACUGACGAAACUAGCCAGUUGGUUGAAUGGCUAGCUCGUUUGUGAAACGCCGCCAUUUAAAUGUCUAAAGAUUUACUUACCGCGAUUGUUGAACGCAAUGCUUAACGAGCUGACUUAUUGUCGAAUUAUUAGUCGUUGGUAUUUUUUUGUAUUACACAUUUUAAUGAAAAAAUAUCGUGAAAUCUGACCAUUCUAAGUUUUACUUAUUUAACUUAAUUAUUUUUGACUCAAGGCAAUAAUAAACAAAUAUAAAACUGUUUCAAGUUCCCAAAACCAUACAUUUUUGAGUUUGAUGACUGCUAACCCUCCAUCUGACAAAAUUUUAACUAAAAAAUUACCCGGCUGCUUUGUUCGGCGUUUUCCAAAAGGCUAGCUUUUUAUUAACUACAUAAUUCCAUAAUACGUUGUCUGCUGAUCGUUUAACAAUCGGCCUAAGUACCUUCUUGUUCAUCCAACAAUCUGCCUAGGCAUUCAAUUAAAUACCGGCAUUUAAUAAAUGAGCUAGCCAGUCGAUUAACUGGCUGAUUCAACUACUUGGCUGCGACAUAUUAUUAUUAUAUUAUUGUCACUCAUCGUGAAAUUAAAAAACACAUCUUUAAGCUAUUCGAUUACAACUUAAAGUAACUGGAAGUAUAAAAACAUUACUUAAAAUUUUAUUAUUCUGACUGUAGUUUGUUUAGUCAUAACUCAUAAUUUUGUUCGGGAUUCGACUUUGGUUUAAAAAUGUGUUUACUAGAAAAUAAUGACGUUAUAAAAAUUAAUCUUGUAUAAUUAGAAUAACAGUAGAAGAUAGUAGUCUAAAAUCUAACUGUGUGAUCAUAUUAACGUAAAUUGAUCUCACGUUUCCAAAAUAUUUCGAAUAGGAUAAAUAUUUGUUGGUCACUAUGACUUUGUAGGUAACCCUUGCAUCUAUUUUGGUAUAAUAAUAUUACUUACAAGUUUAUAACCAGUACUUUUAAAAGUAAUAGUAAUGUAGUAUUCAUAAUCACUUUUUCCUGUACAUUAUACAUUUUAAUGUUAUUUAGUUUUUUAUUAAAAUGCUAUAAAAUACAAAAAUAUUCGUAUAAAAUAUUACCAACUUAACUUUUCAUUUGUAUUCUAAGUGGUGUAAGUUUGGUGGAGGAAUAUUGGUUACUCACGACCAAAAAAGAGCUAAAAAUAACCACUAAAAUGCAGAUAUAAAAAAUUCCAAGUAAGUGUUUAACCGAACUUCAAAUUGUAAAGUUUGUACGUCUGUUAGAUGUAGUUGGAUGGCAUUAAUGGAAUUUAUAUGUGACAAAACUAAACUUCCAGUGGCAAUGGUUUGUAAAAUCUAUAGAUAUAAUUAAUAUUAUGUAAUUUAAAAUAUUUUAUAGGACCUACUACACUUCUGGACACAUCUACUGGCCCACCUUAGAGUUUAAGUUUCGAUGGCCCCUACCAAAAUAUGAUUGCUAGAUUGAACAAAAACUGUUGAUGCAGUUUUAAACCUGAUACAUUUUACCAUCUUUUUCGAUCUUAUUGUUUUAAAUUUGAAUUCAGAAUACCAUACGACAUGGAGCUACGCCUAAGUAGAUGUGUCCAGAAGUGUAUUGUACUGAAAUUCAAGCGUAUAGAUUUAUCUAUGAUUAACGUAGUGUAGAUGGUACGGCUGUCCUUUUGCUCGACUUGGCGACGGCUCUGCCGUGCCCCCAGAUAGUGUAAAACUAGCAUAGUAAAAAUCUAGAUUUUAGUGCGAUUAAAUAACAAAUGUGUAGGAAGUGCUGUCGAUUGUAAUAACAAUUUAAGAUAAGUUUAAUAAAAUUUUAAAAUUGGUGAUAAAUAUUUAUUUUGAUGUUACAUAAUGAAUUAAUGUAGAGAUAGUUAAGGUCCAGUUUCAAUAGUGAUACUUGAUUGGUAAAUAUAACAUUGUUUACAUUUUUUAAACUGCAAUUUAUAAAGAUCGAACUAUACUUAUCUACUCACUGUAGCUCCAUGAUUUAUAAUAAUGACAUAGAUAAUAUCUUUGUAAAUUAAAUAAUGUUUCUUGACAAUCUGUCGGCGAAUUUUGUAGAAUUAGGGCCUUUGAAUAAGACGGUGGCUCGGCUUGGUUGGACUUUUCAAAAACCCUAUUUUGGAUUUAAAAAAUGUAAUAUUUCUUCUCGAUUCAAUUUGGCUCGAAAGUUUUGAACUUAACCGUCAGUAUUAGUGUUACCAAUAUAAUAAUUACUUACGUGCAAGUAAAUUAUUUUUAAAUUCGACAGCUUAUUCCCACAUUAUUUAAAAUUAUUUGUUAGUUAUAUGUUUGAAGGUGAAAUGGGCUGUGUGUUAAAUAAGGCAUUAAUAAAAAGACGUUUGGUAAAAUGGAAUAA